CGAUUAAUCGGCGUUAAUAUACGACCCGAUUAGCAGCUUCCGGGAAACCAAAGUUUUUCGUUUCCGGGGGAAGUAUGGUUGCAAAGCUGAAACUUAAAGGAAUUGACGGAAGGGCACCACCAGGAGUGGAGCCUGCGGCUUAAUUUGACUCAACACGGGAAAACUCACCCGGCCCGGACACCGUAAGGAUUGACAGACUGAUAGCUCUUUCUUAAUUCGGUGGGUGGUGGUGCAUGGCCGUUCUUAGUUGGUGGAGCGAUUUGUCUGGUUAAUUCCGAUAACGAACGAGACUCUGGCCUAUUAAAUAGACGAGCUAUUAAUGAAGUAAGCUCGCGCUUCUUAGAGGGACAAGCGGCGUCUAGCCGCAUGAAAUAGAGCAAUAACAAGUCUGUGAUGCCCUUAGAUGUCCGGGGCUGCACGCGCGCUACACUGAAGGAAUCAGCGUGCAUACUAACCUGGUCCGAAAGGACCGGGUAACCCGAUCAAACUCCUUCGUGAUUGGGAUAGGGACUUGCAAUUAUUUCCCUUGAACGAGGAAUUCCCAGUAAGUGCGGGUCAUAAGCUCGCGUUGAUUACGUCCCUGCCCUUUGUA
rnacentral:rRNA from 1 species